UACGAAGGGGGCUAGCGUUGUUCGGAAUUACUGGGCGUAAAGCGCGCGUAGGCGGUGAUCUAUGUCAGAGGUGAAAGCCCGGGGCUCAACUCCGGAAUUGCCUUUGAAACGGGAUCGCUAGAGUCCGAGAGAGGAUGGCGGAAUUCCUAGUGUAGAGGUGAAAUUCGUAGAUAUUAGGAAGAACACCGGUGGCGAAGGCGGCCAUCUGGCUCGAUACUGACGCUGAGGUGCGAAAGCGUGGGGAGCAAACAGG
rnacentral:rRNA from 1 species